rnacentral:rRNA from 1 species
UACGUAGGGUGCAAGCGUUGUCCGGAAUUAUUGGGCGUAAAGAGCUCGUAGGCGGCUUUGCAAGUCGGGUGUGAAAGCCCUCAGCUCAACUGAGGAAGUGCGCCCGAAACUGCAGAGCUUGAGUGCCGGAGAGGGUGGCGGAAAUUCCCCCAAGUAGAGGUGAAAUUCGUAGAUAUGGGGGAGGAACACCGGUGGCGAAGGCGGCCAACUGGACAGAUACUGACGCUGAGACUCGAAAGCGUGGGGAGCAAACAGG